GGCGGGUUAGCUCAGUGGUAGAGCACUUCACUCGUAAUGAAGGGGUCCCGGGUUCGAACCCCGGUCUCGCCU
rnacentral:tRNA from 1 species